UUCCGGUUGAUCCCGCCGGACCCCACUGCUAUCGGGGUGGGACUAAGACAUGCGAGUCGUACGCCUCCCGGCUGCCGGGGGAGGCGUGGCGCACGGCUCCGUAACACGUGGCUAACCUACCCUCGGGACGGGGAUAACCCCGGGAAACUGGGGCUAAUCCCCGAUAGGCGAGGAUGCCUGGAAUGGUUCCUCGCCGAAAGGGCGCCGGCACCGUGCUGUCGGCGUCGCCCGAGGAUGGGGCCGCGGCCGAUCAGGUUGUUGGUGGGGUAACGGCCCACCAAGCCGAUAACCGGUACGGGCCGUGAGAGCGGGAGCCCGGAGAUGGGCACUGAGAUAAGGGCCCAGGCCCUACGGGGCGCAGCAGUCGCGAAACCUCCGCAAUGCGCGAAAGCGCGACGGGGCCACCCCGAGUGCCGCCCGCUGAGGGUGGCUUUUCCCCGGUGUAAGUAGCCGGGGGAAUAAGGGGAGGGCAAGUCUGGUGUCAGCCGCCGCGGUAAUACCAGCUCCCCGAGUGGUGGGGACGAUUAUUGGGCCUAAAGCGUCCGUAGCCGGCCCGGCAAGUCUCCCGUUAAAUCCAGCGAUCUAAUCGCUGGACUGCGGGAGAUACUGUCGGGCUAGGGGGCGGGAGAGGCCGGCGGUAUUCCCGGGGUAGGGGUGAAAUCCUAUAAUCCCGGGAGGACCACCAGUGGCGAAGGCUGCCGGCUGGAACGCGCCCGACGGUGAGGGACGAAAGCCGGGGGAGCGAACCGGAUUAGAUACCCGGGUAGUCCCGGCCGUAAACGAUGCGGGCUAGGUGUUGGCACGGCUACGAGCCGUGCCAGUGCCGCAGGGAAGCCGUUAAGCCCGCCGCCUGGGGAGUACGGCCGCAAGGCUGAAACUUAAAGGAAUUGGCGGGGGAGCACCACAAGGGGUGAAGCCUGCGGUUUAAUUGGAUUCAACGCCGGG
rnacentral:rRNA from 1 species